rnacentral:tRNA from 1 species
GGGAAGGUGGCUCAAUGGUAGAGUGCUUGCCUUGAAUGCAAGAGGCCUUGGUUCUGUUCCU